CACGGGCUGCAGGUGCUCGAGCACACGGGCUGCAGGUGCUCGGGGCCUGCCGCUCGAUGCCCUGCAGUCAGGCGGUGGGCGGUCUUCGAGAACUUCCAGGCUCAGUAAAAGCUCACUGGCUUUUCUUGUUAAGGACAUAAGCUUUAUUUUCAAAAGCAUCUUUCCAGGAGCACCAAGCUGACCCCCUUUCACCACCAGCAAAACAGAGAAAAGGGAAAACUCUAAGGCAGUGGGCGACCCCAGGGUCCCGGUAACCUCCCAGCUAACCCCCGUGUCUAGGGAGGGGACAGAAAGCCUCGCAGAGAAGGGGAAGCCACUCUGCUCCCCACACUCUUCCUGGCGCCCCCCACGGUCUCCGCUGUGCUCAGACCGAGGACUCACUUCCUUCUUUCAGAAACUCAGGACGGAGGACGUCCAGGGCUGUGGAUGUUCUGGGGGCCGGAUCACCCCCUGGCCUGGGGAACGCCCUGAACUAGCUAUUUUACUCAAACAUCUGGGGACAGGGGCUAUUGACAUUGGGCAGCUAAGGCGAUUGAAGAAAAUCUUCAAAUCAGAAAAGCCCGCCUCCCACUCAGGUCUCGAGUCCGCAGGAAGUCUCCAGAAAAGAAACAUCGGUGAGCAGGACUCCUGCUCAGACCUGGGGCUUGUGACCCAGCCCCUCCCAUCUUCCCGGAAAGGACCGCCAC